GGGGGUGGGGGUGGGGGGGAAUGAGGGCGGGGCCAAGUGGCAGCUGGACUAACAUAUCUGAACACCGGAGCAUGUGCGUAUGUGAACAACACAGCAUGUGCGAAGUCUGAAUUUAUUCCUACCAGUGUGUUUACACUUAACAUGUCCAGAGCAUGAGCGAGCGAGCGCAUGGCCUGUCCAUCACAGACAUAGAGGACGAAGCCAGAGGUCCUUGUCCAACAUGUGAACAUCCUAAGGGUAGAUUCCCAAGGAGCCAGGCCCUUGCCUCAUCCCAUCUCCCCUACAACCCCUGUGUUACAAGGUCUCAUCAUAAGCCCAAACUGGUCUUGACCUUGUAA
rnacentral:lncRNA from 1 species